CAAGCAUUCUACUUCCAAAUGGAUUUUCCAGAAGUUAACAAUAACAUUGGGAGAGCAGUGGCAUUUCCAGUGAAUUCACUGAUUAGGUUAUUUUUAGAAGAUUGGAAUCUGGAACUUGUUAUUGCUUUGAAAGUGUCAAUCAUCCCCAUUUUUCAAAUGUAACUAUCUCCUUUUCAAUUUUUAUUUGAAAAAUAAAGUUUUCAAAAUCUUUGGCCGGGCGCAGUGGCUCACGCC
rnacentral:lncRNA from 10 species